AAAUUGAAGAGUUUGAUCAUGGCUCAGAUUGAACGCUGGCGGCAGGCCUAACACAUGCAAGUCGAGCGGUAGCACAGGAGAGCUUGCUCUCUGGGUGACGAGCGGCGGACGGGUGAGUAAUGUCUGGGAAACUGCCUGAUGGAGGGGGAUAACUACUGGAAACGGUAGCUAAUACCGCAUAACGUCGCAAGACCAAAGAGGGGGACCUUCGGGCCUCUUGCCAUCAGAUGUGCCCAGAUGGGAUUAGCUAGUAGGUGGGGUAACGGCUCACCUAGGCGACGAUCCCUAGCUGGUCUGAGAGGAUGACCAGCCACACUGGAACUGAGACACGGUCCAGACUCCUACGGGAGGCAGCAGUGGGGAAUAUUGCACAAUGGGCGCAAGCCUGAUGCAGCCAUGCCGCGUGUAUGAAGAAGGCCUUCGGGUUGUAAAGUACUUUCAGCGGGGAGGAAGGUGUUGAGGUUAAUAACCUCAGCAAUUGACGUUACCCGCAGAAGAAGCACCGGCUAACUCCGUGCCAGCAGCCGCGGUAAUACGGAGGGUGCAAGCGUUAAUCGGAAUUACUGGGCGUAAAGCGCACGCAGGCGGUCUGUCAAGUCGGAUGUGAAAUCCCCGGGCUCAACCUGGGAACUGCAUUCGAAACUGGCAGGCUAGAGUCUUGUAGAGGGGGGUAGAAUUCCAGGUGUAGCGGUGAAAUGCGUAGAGAUCUGGAGGAAUACCGGUGGCGAAGGCGGCCCCCUGGACAAAGACUGACGCUCAGGUGCGAAAGCGUGGGGAGCAAACAGGAUUAGAUACCCUGGUAGUCCACGCCGUAAACGAUGUCGACUUGGAGGUUGUGCCCUUGAGGCGUGGCUUCCGGAGCUAACGCGUUAAGUCGACCGCCUGGGGAGUACGGCCGCAAGGUUAAAACUCAAAUGAAUUGACGGGGGCCCGCACAAGCGGUGGAGCAUGUGGUUUAAUUCGAUGCAACGCGAAGAACCUUACCUACUCUUGACAUCCAGAGAACUUAGCAGAGAUGCUUUGGUGCCUUCGGGAACUCUGAGACAGGUGCUGCAUGGCUGUCGUCAGCUCGUGUUGUGAAAUGUUGGGUUAAGUCCCGCAACGAGCGCAACCCUUAUCCUUUGUUGCCAGCGGUCCGGCCGGGAACUCAAAGGAGACUGCCAGUGAUAAACUGGAGGAAGGUGGGGAUGACGUCAAGUCAUCAUGGCCCUUACGAGUAGGGCUACACACGUGCUACAAUGGCGCAUACAAAGAGAAGCGACCUCGCGAGAGCAAGCGGACCUCAUAAAGUGCGUCGUAGUCCGGAUUGGAGUCUGCAACUCGACUCCAUGAAGUCGGAAUCGCUAGUAAUCGUAGAUCAGAAUGCUACGGUGAAUACGUUCCCGGGCCUUGUACACACCGCCCGUCACACCAUGGGAGUGGGUUGCAAAAGAAGUAGGUAGCUUAACCUUCGGGAGGGCGCUUACCACUUUGUGAUUCAUGACUGGGGUGAAGUCGUAACAAGGUAACCGUAGGGGAACCUGCGGUUGGAUCACCUCCUUA
rnacentral:rRNA from 1 species